rnacentral:tRNA from 1 species
GCUCUAGUAGCUCAGCGGUAGAGCGAUCGACUGUUAAUCGAUUGGUCGUAGGUUCAAAUCCUACCUGGAGCG